CCUACGGGAGGCAGCAGUGAGGAAUAUUGGUCAAUGGACGAGAGUCUGAACCAGCCAAGUAGCGUGAAGGAUGACUGCCCUAUGGGUUGUAAACUUCUUUUAUAUGGGAAUAAAAUGUUCCACGUGUGGGAUUUUGUAUGUACCAUAUGAAUAAGGAUCGGCUAACUCCGUGCCAGCAGCCGCGGUAAUACGGAGGAUCCGAGCGUUAUCCGGAUUUAUUGGGUUUAACGGGAGCGUAGGUGGAUUGUUAAGUCAGUUGUGAAAGUUUGCGGCUCAACCGUAAAAUUGCAGUUGAAACUGGCAGUCUUGAGUACAGUAGAGGUGGGCGGAAUUCGUGGUGUAGCGGUGAAAUGCUUAGAUAUCACGAAGAACUCCGAUUGCGAAGGCAGUUCACUGGACUGCAACUGACACUGAGGCUCGAAAGUGUGGGUAUCAAACAGGAGUAGAUACCCGUGUAGUC
rnacentral:rRNA from 1 species